UACGGGGGGGGGCAAGCGUUGUUCGGAAUUACUGGGCGUAAAGGGCUCGUAGGCGGCCAACUAAGUCGGAUGUGAAAUCCCCCAGGCUUAACCUGGGAACUGCAUCCGAUACUGGAUGGCUUGAAUUCGGGAGAGGGAUGCAGAAUUCCAGGUGUAGCGGUGAAAUGCGUAGAUAUCUGGAGGAAUACCGGUGGCGAAGGCGGCAUCCUGGACCAAUACUGACGCUCAUGUGCGAAAGCGUGGGGAGCAAACAGG
rnacentral:rRNA from 1 species